rnacentral:rRNA from 1 species
GACGAACGCUGGCGGCGUGCUUAACACAUGCAAGUCGAACGGAAAGGCCCUGCUUGCAGGGUACUCGAGUGGCGAACGGGUGAGUAACACGUGGGUGAUCUGCCCUGCACUUCGGGAUAAGCCUGGGAAACUGGGUCUAAUACCGGAUAGGAGCCAUUUUUAGUGUGAUGGUUGGAAAGUUUUUUCGGUGUAGGAUGAGCUCGCGGCCUAUCAGCUUGUUGGUGGGGUAAUGGCCUACCAAGGCGGCGACGGGUAGCCGGCCUGAGAGGGUGGACGGCCAAAUUGGGACUGGAAGACGGGCCAGACUCCUAACGGAGGCAGGAGGGGGGAAAAAUUCACAAAGGGAGGAAGCCUGAUUGAAGCACGCCGGCGUGGGGGAUACCGCCUUUGGGUUGGAAACUCCUUUCGCUAGGGACGAAGCUUUUUGUGACGGUACCUAGAGAAGAAGCACCGGCUAACUACGUG